UGACCACUGCUAGGCCUAGUCCUUUGGGGA
rnacentral:piRNA from 1 species